GAUGGUCAGUCACACUGGGACUGAGACACUGCCCAGACUCCUACGGGAGGCUGCAGUCGAGGAUCAUUCGCAAUGCGCGAAAGCGUGACGAUGCGACGCUGCGUGGAGGAUGAAGGCCUUCGGGUCGUAAACUCCUGUCAUUCGGGAACAAUAACAAGAAGGUGAAUAACCUUUUUGGAUGAUAGUACCGGAAGAGGAAGCCACGGCUAACUCUGUGCCAGCAGCCGCGGUAAUACAGAGGUGGCGAGCGUUGUUCGGAUUUACUGGGCGUAAAGGGUGCGUAGGUGGUUUUGUGUGUCGGAUGUGAAAUCUCACUGCUCAACGGUGAAAUGGCAUUCGAAACUGCAGAGCUUGAGUGCAGGAGAGGAGAGCGGAAUUCUUGGUGUAGCGGUGGAAUGCGUUGAGAUCAAGAAGAACACCGGUGGCGUAGGCGGCUCUCUGGUAUGCAACUGACUCUGAGGCACGAAAGUUGGGGGAGCAAACAGGAUUAGAUACCCUGGUAGUCCCAACCUUAAACGGUGUACAUUUGGUGUGGGGAGAUUGACCCUCUCCGUGCCGGAGCUAACGCGUUAAAUGUACCGCCUGGGGAGUACGGUCGCAAGAUUAAAACUCAAAGAAAUUGACGGGGGCCCGCACAAGCGGAGGAGCAUGUGGCUUAAUUCGAUGCACGCGAAGAACCUUACCAGGGCUUGACAUGCAGCUGCACGUCCGCCGAAAAGCGGAUUCCUUCGAGGGUGCUGCACAGGUGCUGCAUGGCUGUCGUCAGUUCGUGCCGUGAGGUGUUGGGUUAAGUCCCGCAACGAACGCAACCCCUGUGAUUAGUUGCUAGCAAUGGUGAUGAAUCAUUGUGCACUCUAGUCAGACUGCCCGUGAUAAGCGGGAGGAAGGUGGGGAUGACGUCAAGUCAGUAUGGCCCUUACGCCCUGGGCUGCACACGUGCUACAAUGGUCGGUACAGAGGGAAGCGAAACCGCGAGGCGAAGCAAAUCCCGUAAAACCGGCCCCAGUUCGGAUUGAAGUCUGAAACUCGACUUCAUGAAGUUGGAUUCGCUAGUAAUGGCGCAUCAGCUACGGCGCCGUGAAUACGUUCCCGGGCCUUGUACACACCGCCCGUCACAUCAUGAAAGCCGUCUGCACCCGAAGUCGCUGAUUCAACCCGCAAGGGAGAUAUGUGCCCAAGAUGUGGGUGGUGAUUGGGAUGAAGUCGUAACAAGGUA
rnacentral:rRNA from 1 species